rnacentral:lncRNA from 1 species
CACUCCUAUCUCCCUUUGCUGACUCCUUUUUUGGAUUCAGACUGCCUGCACCCAGGUGAUUAAAAAGCUUUAUUGCUCACACAAAGCCUGUGUGGUGGUCUCUUCACAUGGACGCACAUAACAGUAAUCAGAUGAGAAGUCACCACUUCCAUUCCUACAAUAACAACAACAAGCUAGAUAAACAAAAACAAUGACUUUUCUUGGACCCAUCAAAUAACUGAAGUUUCAGGGCAAAACACUACCCCAAAUUUGGAGAGACAGGUGUAUCUAGAGACACAGGUGGGAUCUGCUUACGUGGAAAAGAAGCUGCUGGGAUCUACUUACCUGGAAAAGAAGGUGCUGGAGCCAUAAAUUGUUAGGAGCAUUUACAUGGUAAUGUUGGCAAAUUGCUGGAGGCUGUGUGUGGACUCAUGUGAGAAAAAAAGCUCAGGGGGGCCACCGUUCUAAGGGUACCCUCACACAUUUGUGAGCUUUACCUCCAAGAACAUGGCCAAAUUCUCAUAGUAAGGAUGUGAGAAAGAUCCUUCCCUGGAUUUGGCAGGAAAAGAGGAUGAAAUCCCCUUGGAGAGUUCUCCAUAACAAAGGCCUACUUUGCAGGGUGAAAGACUUUCCCAGAGCCUUAUUCCAGAAGGAAGGGAGGAAAGGCAUUCCUCUCUCUCCCCUGUCUUCUCUAGCUUUCUAGUCCCCACUAAGGGAAAAAUUUAAAAGCUAUGCCACUGGAGAAACACUUGUGAAGCUGACAGUUCAGAAACAUGCCCCCAACCCCCACAAAAGAUGGAGUUUUAACAAGAUUAUGGAAUGCUUCUACCUCCCAGAACCUUCUCACCUCAGCAAUAGGGCUCCCGUAUGACAGUGGAUUACAGUUGAAAAAUCUGCAAAACAGAGAUUCUGAGAAGUACUUAGGGAAGCCUAAAGUCAAGGUGAGAGACAAAAUUAAGGAAGAAUCUGAAGCUUCUGACAUCCACACCAAUAGCAAACAGUAAACAUAGCCCAGCACUUAGCCAGAUUAACAUAAAUCCUCACAAUAAAGGCCUACUUGCCUAUUUGUCUAUUUUCCUCUCUGGUUUGAACAAAAAAUUACAAAGCAGGCCAAGAAAAAACAAACACACACAGUCUAAGGAAACAAAGCAAUCACGAGAAUCAGGCUCAGCUAUGACACAGAUGAUGAUAUGAUCAGACAUGGAAUUUACAAUAUCAUAACUAUAAUUAAUACGUUAAGGGCUUUAAUAGAAAAAGUAGACAACAUGAAAGAAGAGAUGAGUAAAGUAAGCAGCGAGAUGGAAACUCUAAGAAUCAAAACAGAUGAUCAAAAUAAAAAACAAAGACAGCUGAGAAAAAAACUAUCAGUGAGAUUGAAGAUCAUCAAUAGCAAACUGAAAUGCAAAGAGAAAAAAAGAAUUUUUUAAAAAUCACAUAUCCGCUAAGAACUGUAAACAAUUUUAAAAGCUAUAACAUACAUGUAAUUGGAAUAUCAGAAGGAAAAAAUUAAAGAGAACAGAGAAAAAGAAAUAGCUGAAGUAGUAAUGGUUAAAAACUUUCCAAAAUUAAUGACAGUCACCACAUCACAAAUUCAGGAAUAUCAGAGAAUAUCAAGCCAAAUAAAUACCAAAAACAAAACUAACUGCAGAAAACCAGACACGAAGAAAAUAUUAUGAAAGAAGCUAGAGGGGGAGAAAACUUUGCCUUAGAUGAAUGAAAAUAACAAUUAUAAUAGACUUCUCAUCAGAAACUAUAUAAACAAAAGGACAGUAGCAUAAAAUAUUUAAAGUCUUGAAAGCAAAAAAACCCAACAAGCUUGAAUUCUAUAUCCAGUCAAAUUGUCCUUCCAAAGUGAAGGAGAGCCGGGUAUGGUGGCUCACACCUGUAAUCUUGGCACUUUAGGAGGCCAAGGCAGGCGGAUAACCUGAGGUCAGGAGUUCAGAUCAGCCUGGCUAACAUGACAAAACCUCAUUUCUACUAAAAAUACAAAAAUUAGCCAGGCAUGGUGGCACACGCCUGUAGUCCCAGCUACUCGGGAGGCUGAGGCAGGAGAAUUGCUUGAACACAGGUGGUGAAGCUUGCAGUGAGCCAAGAUCAUGCCAUUGAACUCCAGCCUGGGUGAAAGAGCAAGACUCCAUCUUAAAAAAAAAAAAAAAAAAAAAAAAAGGCCGGGUGUGGUGGCUCAUGCCUGUCAUCCCAGCACUUUGGGAGGCCGAGGCAGGUGGAUCUCCUAAGGUUGGGAGUUCGAGACGAGCCUGACCAACAUGGUGAAACCCCAUCUCUACUAAAAAUACAAAAACUAGCCAGGCAUGGUGGCAGUAGCUGUAAUCCUAGCUACUCAAGAGGCCAAGGCAGGCUCCAGCCUGGGCAACAAGAGUGAAACUCCAUCUCAAAAAAACAAAAAAAAAAAGAAGGGGAAAUAAAGAUUUUCUCAGACAAACAAAAACUAAGCUUCAAAACCAGCAGAUCUAGCCUGCAACAAAUUUUAAACAUGGAAAAAUUCUGGGAAGCAACAUUAAGAACCUCCUCUGUGAAUGCUAUCAUUUUGUUAAGCAGCCCUUGUUUAGAUACAUAAGAACCAUCUUCCAAUUGGGUAUUUAUUAUUGCAUUAAACCCAUUCUUCAUGAUUUCCCCAGAAAUAUCAUGAAAGUGUUCCCAAAAUGCCUGUGGAAUAUCUGAUACACUCAUCCAACAGUCACUAUUUCCUGCUAAAGAACAAAAUGAUGUUACUCCAUUGUGAAGUGAUCUUGGUGAUCUCUUGCUGGAUCUCCUUCUAGAUUUUUAUGAAUCACAUCUUUAAUAAUUCAUUCUAGGACCUUGCCCAGGGUUAACUUAAAGCUCUCUAGUCCUGAAUAGCAGCAUGUAUCCUUUUUUCCUCUAAAAUGUGAAUCUACGUUUACAUUUUCCUCUUUUCCAUUUUCCCUUUCUCCUUCACAUAUCACUGUCCUCAUUUGCACCUUAGGAUAUUAUAUUCUGGGGUUAAAUUUGCUCACAGGAGGAAACUUGAACUCAUUUUUAGCAGUAGGAUUAUCUCUUAUAAUAUUUUAUCUCAUUUUCAUCUUCUGUUCUUCCCAAUCAAUGUUUAUUCUACACAGCUUAGUGUUGAAAUCAGUCUCUUUAAGAGAAAAGACAAAGCAAAAUAGAGAUUAAAGAGUUCUCUCCUAUGUCAACCAUCAACUUUAUGCUCUAAACCACAGCGCCGAGUUUAUUCAUUUGAUGAUCUUAUUCUUACCGUAAUGUAACUAGGGUCUUCUGGUUAUCAUUGGCUUUAUCAAAAGUUGUAACCCAUUUUAUACUUUAGUCUUUGUAAAUCUUAUCUUCAGUUCUUUGCUUCUCCCUUAAUCAUUGCCUUGUAUUAUUCAACAUUAGGAGACCCCAUUUCCAUUGCUUUAAAUCUGAGGUCACCAGAGUGCAUUCUCUAUACUGCCACCCAGGGUCACAUCUCUUUCCUCCCCAUGUAUCUAUUACUAUAUACAAAAACAGAUGAAUAAAAUUUACUUACCAAACUACAUCCCUCUUAAAGCACACCAUUGGCAGAGGCUGAGUGUUUCUCUAAUAUAAAAUGCUUAUCAGGGUAUUAAAAUAUGGAAAAAUCAGCUUCCUAUAGCUUGAUAAAAAAAUUCAGUAAUUGUUAUUAUUACUCACUUAUUUGAGUUCAUUAAUAAUAAAAUUGCAUGAAAUAAUAGCUGUGCAAUAUAUAAUACAUAAUAGUAUAUAACAUAAUAAUAUAAUGUUUGUAUAAAGGGAAACAACUUUUUUCCCUCAAAAAUCUGUGUUUGUGUCCAUAUCUACCACUGAUUAAACACAGGGGGGUGCCUUUUAACCUCUUUGUGCCUUUGUCUCCUCAUCUGUAGAACUGGGUUAAUAAAUGAAUGUGUUGUUAUUCUUGUAAGGCUAAACAAAAUUAAGUACAUACACUUGACCUUGGAAGCCUUAAGGCAGUGAAUACCAAAGUGUGGAACGUGAUGAUUUUAGAUGACUAUUGGACAUGUAUUCAAUAAUAUUAAAUCACAUGGUAUGAAAAUUACUUCAAUUUUGUUUUAACCCUUGUAAUUACAUAAAAAGGAAAAUCCCUAUUUGGUGCCAGUGUGUUUUCACAUCUUCUAGCACUUGUUAUUCUCCCUUUUAAGCAAAGGAAGAGUAGGUGACAGGCUUUCCUUCAGCAGGCAAAAGUGUUUCUCUUGAAAUGAAUUACAUUAUUUUGUUUUAAUUGCACUCAUUUUGCAAUUAUAUUUUAUUAUGGCAAGCAAUAUUCCUUUUCAAGUUUCAAUUUCUUUUUCUUUUUCUUUUCUUUUUUUUUUGAGACAGAGUCUGGCACUGUUGGCUGGGCUGGAGCGCAGUGGCAUGAUCUCAGCUCACUGCGACCUCCGCCUCCUGAGUUCAAGCGAUUCUCCUGCCUCCCAUUUCUUUUUCAAAUGAAUUAAUUGAAAUAAAAAGAAAUAAUUUGUUUUAGAUAAUAACUAAAUGUAUUACAGGUGGUUUGAGGUUUGGCAAAAAUUAUGAAGUUAUUAUAUGAAAGACUGAGGAAACAUUCGAUAAUGUAAUAUACACAUUUUAAUCUAUUUGCCUAUUAUCAAUGAAGUUAUAUUUUUAUUAAUUAUUAUUAAAAAAUAAGUCUCUGAAAAAUUUGUGCUUUACAGGUUCCUAAGCCUGAUUCUUGAAGCCUCUCACACAGAAGUUUUAAAAGAUUCCCUAGUAAAUAAUAAAAAGAAAGUUUGCAUUUGAUAUCUGACUUUUAUUUCCUCUAGGUUAGGGGUAAUAUCUACCUUCUUUAUAUGCUCUACAGCAUCUAUUAGAAGGCUGAGUGCACAAGUGUUUUUAAGUAAAUAUUCAAAUGUGCUGAAUUGACAUUUAGGUGUGUCAAAAAUGUUUGUGGGUGAUAUAUGUGUGCCUCCCCUGCUCUUCUCAAAGUACCUCCAGCUGUUAAUACUACCAGAGCAAUUUCCACCCAAUUUCCCUCUCAACUCUGAAGUUAUAGCUCAGAUAAUGUGGCGACCAGUCUGAAUCACAGAAUCUUUAGCUAUUUGUCAUUUCCAUAAUGUCUGCCAGCAUCUUGUAAGCUGGCUGUGUGAUGUCCAAGACCAGAUAAAGGAAUUGCACUUUUCUCCAUAGCUUAUAUAUGCUAAGUCCCUUUACCACACUAUAAUUGUCUUUAAUUUUUUCCCAGUUCAGUCCCUGCUCUCCAAUGCCAUGACAACACACAUCCUAUAAAGAGAGUCUUUACAAAUAGUCAUGAGAUGAGGACUUUUGACAUUUCUCUUCAGGGAUCUUAUCCACAUCCAUUUUCUCUGCCUGUUGGUUCUUGACAUUUUAAUGUCUGAAGAGCUUACAUUCUAUAUAACCAAUAGGAAGGGGAAAAUAAUAUCUUUACCUUCUGAUCACAAAGAAAGUUGUUCAAAGUCCUAAGCUUAAUACAGUACGCAAAAUGUUUCCAGAAUUCUUGAGUGAGGCAUUCCAAUAUUCAUGAGAAACAUUAUUUACCAUUACAGUAUCUAAAGAGGAACCCAAAGUCUGCAGAAGUAGGCAAGUUAACACUAGAUUUAAAAUUUUCUGCCCUUUAAGCUGUGUUUGUAGAACCCACACCAAUUCCAUUUGAUUAGCAUCUUCUCUAAAUCUAUGUAAUCCUCUCAACCUGUUCUAUACUUUUCCUUUAUCUCUGACUCUUGGUGUUAAAGUCCUUAAUUAAAAAGUAACACAGAUGACUGACAAGCACAUACAUAUACAUACACAAUUGGCUAGAAUCCAAAAUUCUAACAUUUGUCUGGCUUGCUAGGUUGUCCACUGGAGCCUAGAUUUUGAACCUUUUGAAUAUCAGGCUGGCUGACUGCCAACUGAUGGUUCAAACAUUCAACCAGUCUUCUAUCUAAUCUGCCCUCAAGAAGGAAUCUGGGAAAAGCCAAAACCUGAUUUUCCCUUUAUAUAUGAAUUCUCUCAUCAUCCUCCAAGCAGCCCAAUAAGAUAGGUCUUAUUAACUGUAUCAUAUGGAGUAGGAAACCUGAGAUUAGAAAGUUAAAUAAGUUGCUCAAGGUCAUGGAACUAGUGAAGGGCAGAGUGUGGUUAAAAGUCAACUCUGUAGGAUGAGAAAAUCCAUUUGUUUCUAUUAUACCAACCAGCUCCACAAUGGUGUUAUUCAAAAAGCUAAUCUUAAGAAAGCUUUAGAGUAGUAAAGAAAUAUUAACUUGCCUUUAAUAUUAGCUUAUCACUUGCUCUAGGAAGCCACUAUUCUUCCUCAUCUGUCCAAUCAGAUACUUGACUCUUAACAGCUGUAAAAUAUCAUCUCUGGCAGCUUUUGAUGAUAAAACAACUCCAACGUUCAAAUGCUACUGCUGUUGCUUCAUGCAGGUGUACCUUGUUUUAUUGUUCCUCAUUGUAUUGCUCUUUGCAGAUAUUUCUUAGAAAUUGAAGGUUUGGGAAAAUUCUGCAUGGAGCGAGUCUAUCAGCACCUCUUUAACAACUGUUCUCACUUCAUAUCUUGCCUCUGUGUCAUACUUUGGUACUUCUUGCAAUAUUUCAAAGUUUUUCAUUAUUAUUAUAUCCGUUAUGGUGAUCAGUGAUCUUUUUUGACUGUUUGUUUGCUUUUUUUUUUUUUGAAAACUUGAGACAGG